AGUAGAACGCACAGUUUAUCCCUAGCUUGCUACACCAUAGACUGUGAGUUGCGAACGGGUGAGUAACGCGUAGGUAACCUGCCUGGUAGCGGGGGAUAACUAUUGGAAACGAUAGCUAAUACCGCAUAAUAUUAAUUAUUGCAUGAUAAUUAAUUGAAAGGUGCAAUUGCACCACUACCAGAUGGACCUGCGUUGUAUUAGCUAGUAGGUGAGGUAACGGCUCACCUAGGCGACGAUACAUAGCCGACCUGAGAGGGUGAUCGGCCACACUGGGACUGAGACACGGCCCAGACUCCUACGGGAGGCAGCAGUAGGGAAUCUUCGGCAAUGGACGAAAGUCUGACCGAGCAACGCCGCGUGAGUGAAGAAGGUUUUCGGAUCGUAAAGCUCUGUUGUAAGAGAAGAACGGGUGUGAGAGUGGAAAGUUCACACUGUGACGGUAUCUUACCAGAAAGGGACGGCUAACUACGUGCCAGCAGCCGCGGUAAUACGUAGGUCCCGAGCGUUGUCCGGAUUUAUUGGGCGUAAAGCGAGCGCAGGCGGUUAGAUAAGUCUGAAGUUAAAGGCUGUGGCUUAACCAUAGUACGCUUUGGAAACUGUUUAACUUGAGUGCAGAAGGGGAGAGUGGAAUUCCAUGUGUAGCGGUGAAAUGCGUAGAUAUAUGGAGGAACACCGGUGGCGAAAGCG
rnacentral:rRNA from 1 species